rnacentral:rRNA from 1 species
UAGGGAAUCUUCCACAAUGGACGCAAGUCUGAUGGAGCAACGCCGCGUGAGUGAAGAAGGUUUUCGGACCGUAAAGCUCUGUUGUUGGUGAAGAAGGAUAGAGGUAGUAACUGGCCUUUAUUUGACGGUAAUCAACCAGAAAGUCACGGCUAACUACGUGCCAGCAGCCGCGGUAAUACGUAGGUGGCAAGCGUUGUCCGGAUUUAUUGGGCGUAAAGCGAGCGCAGGCGGAAGAAUAAGUCUGAUGUGAAAGCCCUCGGCUUAACCGAGGAAUUGCAUCGGAAACUGUUUUCUUGAGUGCAGAAGAGGAGAGUAGAACUCCAUGUGUAGCGGUGGAAUGCGUAGAUAUAUGGAAGAAUACCAGUGGCGAAGGCGGCUCUCUGGUCUGCAACUGACGCUGAGGCUCGAAAGCAUGGGUAGCGAACAGGAUUAGAUACCCUGGUAGUCCAUGCCGCAAACGAUGAGUGCUAAGUGUUGGGAGGCUUCCGCCUCUCAGUGCUGCAGCUAACGCAUUAAGCACUCCGCCUGGGGGAGUACGACCGCAAGGUUGAAAC